rnacentral:rRNA from 1 species
UAGUGGCGCACGGGUGCGUAACGCGUGGGAAUCUGCCCUUUGGUUCGGAAUAACAGUUGGAAACGACUGCUAAUACCGGAUGAUGACGUAAGUCCAAAGAUUUAUCGCCAGAGGAUGAGCCCGCGUAGGAUUAGCUAGUUGGUGUGGUAAGAGCGCACCAAGGCGACGAUCCUUAGCUGGUCUGAGAGGAUGAUCAGCCACACUGGGACUGAGACACGGCCCAGACUCCUACGGGAGGCAGCAGUGGGGAAUAUUGGACAAUGGGCGAAAGCCUGAUCCAGCAAUGCCGCGUGAGUGAUGAAGGCCUUAGGGUUGUAAAGCUCUUUUACCCGGGAUGAUAAUGACAGUACCGGGAGAAUAAGCUCCGGCUAACUCCGUGCCAGCAGCCGCGGUAAUACGGAGGGAGCUAGCGUUGUUCGGAAUUACUGGGCGUAAAGCGCACGUAGGCGGCUUUGUAAGUUAGAGGUGAAAGCCUGGAGCUCAACUCCAGAAUUGCCUUUAAGACUGCAUCGCUUGAAUCCAGGAGAGGUGAGUGGAAUUCCGAGUGUAGAGGUGAAAUUCGUAGAUAUUCGGAAGAACACCAGUGGCGAAGGCGGCUCA